GGGUCGAUGAUGAGAACCUUAUAUUGUCCUGAAGAGAGGUGAUGACUUAAAAAUCAUUCUCAAAAGGAUUAUGCUAAGGCCC
ensembl:snoRNA SNORD115 Small nucleolar RNA SNORD115